rnacentral:rRNA from 1 species
GUUAAGCGACUAAGCGUACACGGUGGAUGCCUAGGCAGUCAGAGGCGAUGAAGGGCGUGCUAAUCUGCGAAAAGCGUCGGUAAGCUGAUAUGAAGCGUUAUAACCGACGAUACCCGAAUGGGGAAACCCAGUGCAAUACGUUGCACUAUCGUUAGAUGAAUACAUAGUCUAACGAGGCGAACCGGGGGAACUGAAACAUCUAAGUACCCCGAGGAAAAGAAAUCAACCGAGAUUCCCCCAGUAGCGGCGAGCGAACGGGGAGGAGCCCAGAGUCUGAAUCAGUUUGUGUGUUAGUGGAAGCGUCUGGAAAGUCGCACGGUACAGGGUGAUAGUCCCGUACACCAAAAUGCACAGGCUGUGAACUCGAUGAGUAGGGCGGGACACGUGACAUCCUGUCUGAAUAUGGGGGGACCAUCCUCCAAGGCUAAAUACUCCUGACUGACCGAUAGUGAACCAGUACCGUGAGGGAAAGGCGAAAAGAACCCCGGCGAGGGGAGUGAAAUAGAACCUGAAACCGUGUACGUACAAGCAGUGGGAGCACCUUCGUGGUGUGACUGCGUACCUUUUGUAUAAUGGGUCAGCGACUUAUAUUUUGUAGCAAGGUUAACCGAAUAGGGGAGCCGUAGGGAAACCGAGUCUUAACUGGGCGUCUAGUUGCAAGGUAUAGACCCGAAACCCGGUGAUCUAGCCAUGGGCAGGUUGAAGGUUGGGUAACACUAACUGGAGGACCGAACCGACUAAUGUUGAAAAAUUAGCGGAUGACUUGUGGCUGGGGGUGAAAGGCCAAUCAAACCGGGAGAUAGCUGGUUCUCCCCGAAAGCUAUUUAGGUAGCGCCUCGUGAACUCAUCUUCGGGGGUAGAGCACUGUUUCGGCUAGGGGGCCAUCCCGGCUUACCAAACCGAUGCAAACUCCGAAUACCGAAGAAUGUUAUCACGGGAGACACACGGCGGGUGCUAACGUCCGUCGUGAAGAGGGAAACAACCCAGACCGCCAGCUAAGGUCCCAAAGUCAUGGUUAAGUGGGAAACGAUGUGGGAAGGCACAGACAGCCAGGAUGUUGGCUUAGAAGCAGCCAUCAUUUAAAGAAAGCGUAAUAGCUCACUGGUCGAGUCGGCCUGCGCGGAAGAUGUAACGGGGCUAAACCAUGCACCGAAGCUGCGGCAGCGACACUUAGGUGUUGUUGGGUAGGGGAGCGUUCUGUAAGCCGUUGAAGGUGACCUGUGAGGGUUGCUGGAGGUAUCAGAAGUGCGAAUGCUGACAUAAGUAACGAUAAUGCGGGUGAAAAACCCGCACGCCGGAAGACCAAGGGUUCCUGUCCAACGUUAAUCGGGGCAGGGUGAGUCGACCCCUAAGGCGAGGCUGAAAAGCGUAGUCGAUGGGAAACAGGUUAAUAUUCCUGUACUUGGUGUUACUGCGAAGGGGGGACGGAGAAGGCUAGGCUGGCCGGGCGACGGUUGUCCCGGUUUAAGCGUGUAGGGGGAGUGACCAGGUAAAUCCGGUUGCUUAUCAACCCUGAGGCGUGAUGACGAUGCACUACGGUGCAGAAGCAGUUGAUGCCAUGCUUCCAGGAAAAGCCUCUAAGCAUCAGGUAACAUUAAAUCGUACCCCAAACCGACACAGGUGGUCAGGUAGAGAAUACUCAGGCGCUUGAGAGAACUCGGGUGAAGGAACUAGGCAAAAUGGUGCCGUAACUUCGGGAGAAGGCACGCUGGCGUUAGGUGAAAGGACUAGCUCCUGGAGCUGAAGCCAGUCGCAGAUACCAGCUGGCUGCAACUGUUUAAUAAAAACACAGCACUGUGCAAACACGAAAGUGGACGUAUACGGUGUGACGCCUGCCCGGUGCUGGAAGGUUAAUUGAUGGGGUCAGCCACAAGGCGAAGCUCUUGAUCGAAGCCCCAGUAAACGGCGGCCGUAACUAUAACGGUCCUAAGGUAGCGAAAUUCCUUGUCGGGUAAGUUCCGACCUGCACGAAUGGCGUAAUGAUGGCCAGGCUGUCUCCACCCGAGACUCAGUGAAAUUGAACUCGCUGUGAAGAUGCAGUGUACCCGCGGCAAGACGGAAAGACCCCGUGAACCUUUACUAUAGCUUGACACUGAACAUUGAGCCUUGAUGUGUAGGAUAGGUGGGAGGCCUUGAAGUGUGGACGCCAGUCUGCAUGGAGCCAACCUUGAAAUACCACCCUUUAAUGUUUGAUGUUCUAACUCGGCCCCAUAAUCUGGGGUGAGGACAGUGUCUGGUGGGUAGUUUGACUGGGGCGGUCUCCUCCCAAAGAGUAACGGAGGAGCACGAAGGUUAGCUAAUCACGGUCGGACAUCGUGAGGUUAGUGCAAAGGCAUAAGCUAGCUUGACUGCGAGAGUGACGGCUCGAGCAGGUACGAAAGUAGGUCUUAGUGAUCCGGUGGUUCUGAAUGGAAGGGCCAUCGCUCAACGGAUAAAAGGUACUCCGGGGAUAACAGGCUGAUACCGCCCAAGAGUUCAUAUCGACGGCGGUGUUUGGCACCUCGAUGUCGGCUCAUCACAUCCUGGGGCUGAAGUAGGUCCCAAGGGUAUGGCUGUUCGCCAUUUAAAGUGGUACGCGAGCUGGGUUUAGAACGUCGUGAGACAGUUCGGUCCCUAUCUGCCGUGGGCGUUGGAAGAUUGAGAGGGGCUGCUCCUAGUACGAGAGGACCGGAGUGGACGAAUCACUGGUGUUCGGGUUGUCAUGCCAAUGGCAUUGCCCGGUAGCUAAAUUCGGAAGAGAUAACCGCUGAAAGCAUCUAAGCGGGAAACUUGCCUCGAGAUGAGUCUUCCCUGGGGCUUAAAGCCCCCUGAAGGAACGUUAAAGACUAUGACGUUGAUAGGCUGGGUGUGUAAGUGCAGCGAUGUAUUGAGCUAACCAGUACUAAUGAUCCGUGAGGCUUAACC